GGGGCUAUAGCGCAGUUGGUAGCGCAUCUGCUUUGCAAGCAGAGGGUCGCCGGUUCGAACCCGGCUAGCUCCA
rnacentral:tRNA from 1 species